UACGAAGGGGGCUAGCGUUGUUCGGAAUUACUGGGCGUAAAGCGUGCGCAGGCGGUUUUGUAAGCCAGAUGUGAAAUCCCCGGGCUUAACUUGGGAACUGCAUUUGGGACUGCAAGGCUGGAGUACGGCAGAGGGAGGUGGAAUUCCACGUGUAGCAGUGAAAUGCGUAGAGAUGUGGAGGAACACCGAUGGCGAAGGCAGCCCCCUGGGUCAAGAUUGACGCUCAUGCACGAAAGCGUGGGGAGCAAACAGG
rnacentral:rRNA from 1 species